AGCGAACGCUGGCGGCAGGCUUAACACAUGCAAGUCGAACGGGCAUAGCAAUAUGUCAUGCGCAGACGGGUGAGUAACGCGUGGGAACGUACCUUUUGGUUCGGAACAACACAUUGAAACUUGUUCUAAUACCGGAUAAGCCCUUACUGGGGAAGAUCUAUCGCGGAAAGAUCGGCGCGCGUCUGAUUAGCUAGGUGGUAGCGUAAUGGCCUCUCAAGGCGACGAUCAGUAGCUGGGCUGAGAGAAUGAUCAGCCACACUGGGACUGAGACACGGCCGAAAAUACUGCGGGAGGCAGGAGAGGGGAAUAUAGGAAAACGGGCGAAAGGCUGAUGGAGCCCGGCUGGGUGAGUGAUGAAGGUGGGAGGGUAGUAAGGCUCUUUUGUGCGGGAAGAUAAUGACGGUACCGAAAGAAUAAGCACCGGCUAACUUCGUG
rnacentral:rRNA from 1 species